GACAGAGGAGCCAAGCGUUGUCCGGAUUUACUGGGCGUAAAGGGCGCGUAGGCGGCCACCGCAAGUCGACUGUGAAAUCUCCGGGCUUAACUCGGAAAGGUCAGCCGAUACUGCGGGGCUAGAGUGCAGAAGGGGCAACUGGAAUUCUCGGUGUAGCGGUGAAAUGCGUAGAUAUCGAGAGGAACACCUGCGGCGAAGGCGGGUUGCUGGGCUGACACUGACGCUGAUUGUGCGAAAGCUAGGGGAGCGAACGGG
rnacentral:rRNA from 1 species